AUUAGAAAACACCAAAUUUGUAAUUGUUUGGGUUGUUCAAUGAUUAGUGGUGAAUUAGUUUUUAUAGUAAGGGAAUAUGCAAUCUAGUUUAAAUGUGGCAUGCAGUUGUAUCUACUAAUUAGAAUCAAGUCCUUCUAGCUUUUAAAGUUGUUGGUAAAUUAAAUUCUAGGAUCAUUUCUAGGAUUGUUUAUUAACAAGAAUUAACUAACGUUAGUUGAUUUAGGAUUAAGGAAAGAUUGGUUGUGGAAACAUUUCUGACUACUAAAACUGGUUUACUGAGAUUUAGAAGAAUCAAUCAUUGCAUCAAUGAUCAAUUUCAUAACUGGAACCUAACUAUUUCUUUAAUUAGAAUCACCUCAUAUCUAUUUGUUACUUUAAUUAGUU
rnacentral:lncRNA from 1 species